UAUACUUGUAGCAUAUGUGCAACGUAGCAAACACAUUCUUGCAUGCUUUUUUUUUUUUUUUUUGAAAAAAAGUGAAGUGAUUAAUUUUAGGAUUUACAGCAACCCAGACCAUUGAUUUGAUGGGUUCCAUCAUGGAUACACCAUGAAGUAAGAAUCUUACUUGGGUACAGUCCCUACCUCGGUUCCAUCAUGGAUACACCAUGAAGUAAGGCAUCUGUUGACUGUUACCCAGCUCAUUGCUGUAGGUGGCUCAACAUCUUGAUUGUGUUGCAGGAUUUGAUGUUCCCCUUACUCAUCUGAGCUAGUCCCUUCCCCUUUUUAAUUUUUUUUUUUUUUUUAAAUGUUAUUGAUUUGGAUCCCCAUUUCUUGAGUAGUUUUUAAUGAAGGAUCUAAAAUUAAGCUAGGGAAGAAAGAAGAUGAAGAAGCUGAUGAAAUAUAGCAGUACCUAUGGCAGUUAUUGCUUCUUGUAGGAAAAUGAAAAAGCUUGUCCAAGACAUUUCAUUGGUUGAGGCUGCACUUAGGACCUCGUCUCAGCUUGUUGUAAGUUCUGAUGGAAAGAAAGUGAAGCGAUUGCAUGCAUUGCCAGAUAUUGACAUCGAAGAUGCAAAGGUAUUUUU